AUGAGAGAAAAGAGGUCAGAGAAAAUGAAACCAGGGUUUUUUUUUUCCUGUCCUCGACAUUUUCACUUAUUGUAGAUCAGGCUAACAUGGAUGCAUGUGGAAAGAGCACAGCAGAUCCAUGGACACAGUUCACUUUUCUUUGCUAUUCACAAUGGAGAAGCUACUGAAAGUCAGUGUGAAAGCUGUGGUGUCUACAUGUCAGGUCUUGGAGGAGGCCCCACCCAGGGUGCUGCAGUGGUAAAGAAUCUGCCUGCCAAUGUAGAAGGUGCAAGAGAUGUGGGUUCGAUCCCUGGGUGAGGAAGAGUCCCUGGAGUAGGAAGUGGAAACCCACUCCAGUAUUCCUGUGUGGAAAAUUCCAUGGACAGCAGAGCCUGGUGGGCUACAGUUCAUGGGGUCACAAAGAGCUGGACACAACCAAGCACACAAAC
ensembl:lncRNA